AGUGAACGCUGGCGGUAGGCCUAACACAUGCAAGUCGAACGGCAGCACAGUAAGAGCUUGCUCUUACGGGUGGCGAGUGGCGGACGGGUGAGGAAUACAUCGGAAUCUACUUUUUCGUGGGGGAUAACGUAGGGAAACUUACGCUAAUACCGCAUACGACCUACGGGUGAAAGCAGGGGAUCUUCGGACCUUGCGCGAUUGAAUGAGCCGAUGUCGGAUUAGCUAGUUGGCGGGGUAAAGGCCCACCAAGGCGACGAUCCGUAGCUGGUCUGAGAGGAUGAUCAGCCACACUGGAACUGAAACACGGUCCAGACUCCUGCGGGAGGCAGCAGUGGGGAAUAUUGGACAAUGGGCGCAAGCCUGAUCCAGCCAUACCGCGUGGGUGAAGAAGGCCUUCGGGUUGUAAAGCCCUUUUGUUGGGAAAGAAAAGCAGCAGGUUAAUACCCCGCUGUUCUGACGGUACCCAAAGAAUAAGCACCGGCUAACUUCGCG
rnacentral:rRNA from 1 species